rnacentral:rRNA from 1 species
CCUACGGGUGGCAGCAGUCGAGAAUCUUUCACAAUGGGCGAAACCCUGAUGGUGCGACGCCGCGUGGGGGAAUGAAGGUCUUCGGAUUGUAAACCCCUGUCACGUGGGAGCAAACUAAAAAGAUAGUACCACAAGAGGAAGAGACUGCUCACUCUGUGCCAGCAGCCGCGGUACGACAGAGGUCUCAAGCGUUGUUCGGAAGUACCGGGCGUAAGGCGUGCGUAGGCUGUGGUGUAAGUCGGGUGUGAAAGGCGCGGGCUCAAACCGGGGACUGCAACUGAUACUGGGAGGCUAGAGUAAUGGAGAGGGGGGCAGAAUUCGAGGUGUAGCGGUGAAAUGCGUAGAGAUCGGGAGGAACACUCGUGGCGAAGGCGGGUUCCUGGACAAUGACUGACGCUGAGGUACGAAAGCGAGGGGAGCGAAAAGGAUUAGAUACCCUAGUAGUC